ACGAACGCUGGCGGCGUGCUUAACACAUGCCAGUCGAACGGAAAGGCCCUGCUUUUGUGGGGUGCUCGAGUGGCGAACGGGUGAGUAACACGUGAGUAACCUGCCCUUGACUUUGGGAUAACUUCAGGAAACUGGGGCUAAUACCGGAUAGGAGCUCCUGCUGCAUGGUGGGGGUUGGAAAGUUUCGGCGGUUGGGGAUGGACUCGCGGCUUAUCAGCUUGUUGGUGGGGUAGUGGCUUACCGAGGCUUUGACGGGUAGCCGGCCUGAGAGGGUGACCGGCCACAUUGGGACUGAGAUACGGCCCAGACUCCUACGGGAGGCAGCAGUGGGGAAUAUUGCACAAUGGGCGGAAGCCUGAUGCAGCAACGCCGCGUGCGGGAUGACGGCCUUCGGGUUGUAAACCGCUUUCGCCUGUGACGAAGCGUGAGUGACGGUAAUGGGUAAAGAAGCACCGGCUAACUACGUG
rnacentral:rRNA from 1 species